rnacentral:rRNA from 1 species
GAUGAACGCUGGCGGCGUGCUUAACACAUGCAAGUCGAACGGAAAGGCCCAAGCUUGCUUGGGUACUCGAGUGGCGAACGGGUGAGUAACACGUGGGUGAUCUGCCCUGCACUUCGGGAUAAGCCUGGGAAACUGGGUCUAAUACCGGAUAGGACGAUGGUUUGGAUGCCAUUGUGGAAAGUUUUUUCGGUGUGGGAUGAGCUCGCGGCCUAUCAGCUUGUUGGUGGGGUAAUGGCCUACCAAGGCGUCGACGGGUAGCCGGCCUGGUGGGGUGUACGGCCACAUUGGGACUGAGAAACGGCCAAGACCCCCACGGGGGGAAGACGGGGGGAAGAUUGCAAAAUGGGGGAAAGCCGGAUGAAGCGACGCCGCGUGGGGGAUGACGGCCUUCGGGUUGAAAACCCCUUUCGCUAGGGACAAAGCGUUUUUGGGGCGGGACCUGGGGAAGAAGCACCGGCUAACUACGG